UACGUCACGUGGGGCCCGCCCUGCGACGGCGUGUUGCAAGCUCCGGGCAGCCGUCGUGGAGCUGAAUUUCCGCGGUUGUGAAAGGCGGUGACAGCGGCGACCUCCCUGCUUCUCUGCGUGGGGUCCCGGGACUCCGCGAUGGCCGGCCGGUGCGGGGCCCGUGGCGCGCUGUCGCCACAGUUGCUGCUCUUCGACCUGCCGCCCGCACUGCUGGGAGAGCUUUGCGGGAUCCUGGACAGCUGCGAUGGCCCGCUCGGCUGGCGGGGCCUGGCGGAGCGACUUUCAAACAGCUGGCUGGAUGUUCGUCAUAUUGAAAAGUACGUAAACCAAGGUAAAAGUGGAACAAGAGAAUUGCUCUGGUCCUGGGCACAGAAAAACAAGACGAUCGGCGACCUUUUAGAGGUUCUCCAGGACAUGGGGCAUCAACGAGCUAUCCACUUAAUCAUCAACUAUGGAGUAAGCUGGACUCCUUCAGUGCAGACGCAUCACGAGCUUCCAUUCCCCAGCUUCCCACCUGAGGUGAAGCAUGCGUGCAGAGAAAACGACCCUGGACCUCUGGAACCAGCCAAUGUCACAGUGGAUAAUGUUCUUGUUCCUGAACAUAAUGAAAAAGGAACACUGCAGAAAACCCCUAUCAGCUUCCAGAGUAUCCUAGAAGGAACCAAACAUUUCCACAAAGACUUCCUGAUUGGAGAAGGGGAGAUAUUCGAAGUAUACAGAGUGGACAUUCGAAACCAAGCAUAUGCUGUUAAAUUGUUUAAACAGGAGAAAAAAAUGCAACUAAAGAAGCACUGGAAGAGAUUUUUAUCAGAACUGGAAGUUCUACUCCUGUUCCGUCACCCCCACAUACUAGAGCUGGCUGCAUAUUUCACGGAGACUGAGAAACUUUGUCUGGUUUAUCCCUAUAUGAGCAACGGGACGCUUUUCGACAGAUUACAGUGCACAAAUGGCACAACCCCGCUUUCCUGGCACGUUCGAAUCAGCGUAUUGAUAGGAAUAGCCAAAGCCAUCCAAUACUUGCACAACACUCAGCCGUGCGCCGUCAUCUGUGGCAACGUUUCCAGGUAAAUGACCUGAGAGCUCUGGGUUCCACCUAAAUCCCUGUCAGCCCUGCAGUGCAAACAUACUCUUGGAUGACCAGCUCCAACCCAAACUAACGGAUUUUGCUGCAGCGCACUUCCGACCCAAUCUAGAGCAGCAGAGUUCUACCAUAAAUAUGACCGGCGGUGGCAGGAAACAUCUGUGGUACAUGCCAGAAGAAUACAUCAGACAGGGAAGACUUUCCGUUAAAACUGAUGUCUACAGCUUCGGAAUCGUGAUCAUGGAGGUUCUAACGGGCUGCAAAGUGGUGCUGGAUGACCCGAAACACGUUCAGCUGCGGGACCUCCUCAUGGAACUGAUGGAGAAAAGAGGCCUAGACUCCUGCCUGUCCUUCUUAGACAGGAAGAUACCACCCUGUCCUCGGAACUUCUCUGCAAAGCUCUUCUCUCUGGCGGGCCGGUGUGUGGCAACGAAGGCCAAGUUAAGACCCACGAUGGACGAAGUCCUGUCCUCUCUGGAGAGCACCCAGCCUAGCUUGUAUUUUGCAGAAGACCCUCCCACGUCCUUGAAGUCCUUCAGGUGUCCUUCUCCACUGUUCUUGGAUAAUGUCCCAAGUAUUCCAGUAGAAGAUGAUGAAAACCAGAAUAACCAUUCAGUACCUCCCAAGGAAGUUUUGGGGACAGAUAGAGUGACUCAGAAAACCCCCUUUGAAUGCAGCCAGUCUGAGGUCACCUUUCUAGGCUUGGACCGAAACAGAGGGAACAGGGGAAGUGAAGCGGAUUGCAACGUGCCCAGUUCUUCUCAUGAGGAAUGCUGGUCCCCAGAGCUUGUGGCGCCAUCCCAGGACUUAAGUCCUACUGUGAUCAGUUUGGGCUCGUCUUGGGAAGUACCAGGCCAUUCUUAUGGGAGCAAGCCAAUGGAGAAGAGGUGUUCCUCUGGGCUCUUUUGCAGUGAGCAUGAACAGUCCAAAAAGCAGUGAAUCCACCAGAAGAUCAAGCAAAAAAUAAAAGCAAACGUCACUGAAGGCACUGAGCAAAUAGCAUCCCCGUGAAAAGACACGAGCUCUGAGCUCCGUGAGUACAGCCAAGGGACCAACUGAUGGAGAAUUUGAAUGGUGCAGAUUAGCAGCAAGGAAGUCUAUUCCUUCCUCCAAACAGAAUAAUUUCAAGAGAUGCUUUAUUCAAGUGACCGCCUCUCAGUCAAACCUGAGAAGCUAAACUGGAGCCAAUCAGAAUUAUCCAAGAUUCCGGGUUCUGACAACCAAAACCUAGCAAAGAGUAGCAGGACAAGUCUCUCUCUUAAGUCUCUCACUCUCUCUCAUCAUCCGAGUGAGAUCUUGGUAUAGGUGAACAGAGAACCACCCACCUUCCAGAACCAGAACCACCUUUUCCCCAAGCCAGCAGUCAGUCACUCACCAUCAGCAGCCAGUAGUCACCAGCAGCCAAUCAUGAUACAGUGUCACUCUCCCUCUGCGCAUGCCCUACGUCCUUUAUAAAACCCAGGUCUUCAGGGCCCACCCCUUUCUUUUUCCAUCCUUGCUCAGAGGCAGCCUUUUGUAUACAUUCCCUGACCCCACCCCAAUUAUAUCUCUCAUAUGAUAUCUGUUGCGUAGUGUGACUUUGUGGCAUGACUUGGUUGUCAGAUCAUUUGCACAAGAACAAACGAAUAAACAACAACAAAGCCCACCAUCAUUACCACCGGCACUUAAUGCUAGUCUUUCUGCUAGGGAUACUGACAGUCUAUUUGCUUCCCAUGGUCAUAGGGAAGUUGCUCAAAUGCAAAGGUUGUAGGGAAUGUCUAAUUUGUAAAUGGCGUCGGGUGCCUUUGGAAGGAAUUGUGUUUUUACAGCCAGUUGCUACUCUUGUUUAUCGCUGGUUAACCGGUCUGUCCGGAAGUGAGCCAAGUCAUCCUUGCUAGGGCUUUUUCUGUGUAGAGAGGGAAUUCCAGUCCAAAGUCUGCUUCUCUGUAUUUAAAUUCUUAGAAGAGUUGCCUGUGGCAUUCCAAUUGUUAUAUAAAAAAAUUAUAUUAAAGAAUUACAGCACUGUU